rnacentral:rRNA from 1 species
UACGUAGGGUGCGAGCGUUAAUCGGAAUUACUGGGCGUAAAGCGUGCGCAGGCGGUCUGUGAAGACCGAUGUGAAAUCCCCGGGCUUAACCUGGGAACUGCAUUGGUGACUGGCAGGCUUUGAGUGUGGCAGAGGGAGGUAGAAUUCCACGUGUAGCAGUGAAAUGCGUAGAUAUGUGGAGGAACACCGAUGGCGAAGGCAGCCCCCUGGGUCAAGACUGACGCUCAUGCACGAAAGCGUGGGGAGCAAACAGG